rnacentral:lncRNA from 1 species
GGCCCAUCUUGAAGUCAUGAGUAGCUCACAGAGGCUGGAACAGAUGAACUUGAUAUUCUCAUUGUUGCGCAGAGCCCCCAAGGGAAAAGAAUGCAAUGAACAAGUGACUUCAUUUCCGCUUCCUGCUUUGAUCCCGGAACAUGCAAGUCUUCGGCAUUCGAGUCAUCAGAGAAAACAAGUGCACCACCAAAUGGAGGUGAAGAACAUCAACGUUUGAGUGGAUAAAUUUUGAGGAAACCACAUCAGCAGUUGAGUUAUUGUAUGCAUCCAGGGGCCCUUGCCUGAGUCUGUCUUCCUGCCAGUCCUGAGAACCAAGCCUAAGCCUUCAUCACUCACCAGUCAUAGGAAAGACAAUGGAUCCUCAUUCCCCUGUCACACCUCGGCAUACAGGCAGCACAAUCCAAUUCAUCUUUGGCACAGAAGAGGCAACAACCGAACAACUACAAAAAUCCCACAAUAUAUUAAACAUUGAACAUACUCUCUUUUGGUUAAAGAAACAGAGCAUAGUCAAUAUGGCUCACACACUAGUGUCUUCCCUACUGUGCCAUCAUCCAUUUCAGGGACAUCUCCCAACUGUGCCACCAUUCAUUUCAGGGACAUCCUACAGGACAGGAGACAAGAUAAAAUUAGCACUUGUUUGCC